rnacentral:rRNA from 1 species
GAUGAACGCUGGCGGCGUGCCUAAUACAUGCAAGUCGAGCGAACAGGCGAGGAGCUUGCUCCUCUGACGUUAGCGGCGGACGGGUGAGUAACACGUGGAUAACCUACCUAUAAGACUGGGAUAACUUCGGGAAACUGGAGCUAAUACCGGAUAAUAUAUUGAACCGCAUGGUUCAAUAGUGAAAGACGGUUUUGCUGUCACUUAUAGAUGGAUCCGCGCCGCAUUAGCUAGUUGGUAAGGUAACGGCUUACCAAGGCAACGAUGCGUAGCCGACCUGAGAGGGUGAUCGGCCACACUGGAACUGAGACACGGUCCAGACUCCUACGGGAGGCAGCAGUAGGGAAUCUUCCGCAAUGGGCGAAAGCUUGACGGAGCAACGCCGCGUGAGUGAUGAAGGUCUUCGGAUCGUAAAACUCUGUUAUUAGGGAAGAACAAAUGUGUAAGUAACUAUGCACGUCUUGACGGUACCUGAACAAAAAGCCACGGCUAACUACGUG